rnacentral:rRNA from 1 species
AGUGAACGCUGGCGGUAGGCCUAACACAUGCAAGUCGAACGGCAGCACAGUAAGCGCUUGCUCUUACGGGUGGCGAGUGGCGGACGGGUGAGGAAUACAUCGGAAUCUACUUUUUCGUGGGGGAUAACGUAGGGAAACUUACGCUAAUACCGCAUACGACCUACGGGUGAAAGCAGGAGAUAUUCGGACCUUUCGCGAUUGAAUGAGCCGAUGUCGGAUUAGCUAGUUGGCGGGGUAAAGGCCCACCAAGGCGACGAUCCGUAGCUGGUCUGAGAGGAUGAUCAGCCACACUGGAACUGAGACACGGUCCAGACUCCUACGGGAGGCAGCAGUGGGGAAUAUUGGACAAAGGGCGCAAGCCUGAUCCAGCCAUACCGCGUGGGUGAAGAAGGCCUUCGGGUUGUAAAGCCCUUUUGUUGGGAAAGAAAAGCAGCAGGUUAAUACCCCGCUGUUCUGACGGUACCCAAAGAAUAAGCACCGGCUAACCUCGUG